AAAUGUAAGGGACAUGCCUAAAUCCAACACAUAAAAUGUAAGGGACAUGUCUAAAUCCAACACACAAAAUGUAAGGAACAUGCCUAAAUCCAACACACAAAAUGUAAGGAACAUGUCUAAAUCCAACACACAAAAUGUAAGGGACAUGCCUAAAUCCAACACAUAAAAUGUAAGGGACAUGUCUAAAUCCAACACACAAAAUGUAAGGAACAUGCCUAAAUCCGACACACAAAAUGUAAGGAACAUGUCUAAAUCCAACACACAAAAUGUAAGGGACAUGCCUAAAUCCAACACACAAACUGUAAGGGACAUGUCUAAAUCCAACACAAAAAAUGUAAGGAACAUGCCUAAAUCCAACACACAAAAUGUAAGGAACAUGUCUAAAUCCAACACACAAAAUGUAAGGGACAUGCCUAAAUCCAACACAUAAAAUGUAAGGGACAUUGUGACAGGUGGGGGGAAUGUGACGUGUGUUUGGCUCGUUUAAUGUCUAGGGGAUGAUUAUUUUUAAUGCUAUCACACCCCCACUUAUCAGCAUAUGAAUCGGGAGCAGACACGCAACGAGACAAAGCAAUGAAAGAUAGAUACAAAAGUUAAAAUAAAGGAAAUUUAUUUACAUAAAUAUACAUAUAACAAUAAAAGGGGGAUGGUUUGCAUCUAUCUCUAAUAUAUUCUAUGUUUAAUCAUCACUCUUGCACAUAAUAAGAGAGUAUGUCACUUUGUCCUCUAACUUAGCUGGUUGUCCUGUUGAUGUCGCAGCUGGCUGUGUCCUGGCUUGAGGUUCUGCAGCUGGAGGUGGCGCUCUAGCGGAUAGAGGGACGCCGGCGAUAUAGUUCUUGUGGAGUCUCAGUCCCAAGUUCCAGUAUCUGUAGUGGGCACAGUAUGGCGGGUGGCCGGAUACCGUGGGCACAAGGUUACUGCGGGCAGAGCUGAUCUGCCGUGGGCAGUGUAGGUAACAGGAUAUGUCCAGUGAGUUGCAGAGGGUUGGCGUAGCUAUGACGUCUCGCACAGAUCUCUAUAGGGACGUCGCGCCUAAUAGCUUGACAUGUGGGCUGUCGAAUAGGCGGGCAAUGCCGAUAGCGCCAAGUAGUAGAGUUGAGUAGAUCUCCGUAGGCGGUAGAUGAUGCUCAAUAGGAAAGUGCAGUGCUGAAUAGCACUAAGCACAUAGAUAGGCCAGUAGGCAAAUAGGCGAUAGGUGAUUCUUGAUAGCAAAUACAGUGCUGAAUAGCACUAGCAUCUAAAUAGGCCAGUAGGCAAAUAGGCAGGUAAGUGAUCCGAUAAAUAGGCAGCAGAUGAUUCUCGAUAGCAAAUAAAUAGGCAAUAGUUGAGUGGCGUCGAGUAGACACUGAACAGCAAAUAGCAAAUAAAUAGGCAGACACCUGAGGGAGGCUGCGGAUAAAUAAAGACAAGUUAGGACAUGUCUCUUAUGCAUCUUAUCGAUGCCCUCGACUGAGGUGCAUUCGUCAGAUUGGUAAAAUUGCUUUAGAGCAUAAAGGGGAGAUGAUGACAAAUGGGAUUUGGAGAAUAGAUGGCAGAUAGUGGCAAUAUAGAAAAUGUACAUAAAAGGGGAAAUAAUAAUAUAAGAAUGUACAUAGAAGGGGAAAUAAUAGUCUCAAAUAAACAACACAGGUGGAUAGAGAAAGAAAAGGGGGGGGGGGGUGAGUUGGGCGGUGGUCAGCGAUCGAGACGCUUUGUUUGCACAUGACCGUGGGUCGAGAACAAUGGAGCGUGCUUGAAUGUCCCUUCAAGCGGCGCAACUCUCCUUAGAGUAAAAUGACUACAGGGGAGACAAAUCCUUACACACAAAAAGGGGGGGGGGAUAAUUCAUAUCUCUUCACUAGACGCAGUAUCAGUGCGCUAGUAAAAUUAUCAAGGCGACCAGCCGAGAUAAAGGAAAUAAAAUAAGAUGUACAAAUAAAUACAAGGUUGCAUCAAUGAUCAAUUGAGCAACGUAGCAUUAAUAGAUUAAUGCAAUACUAAAAUAUAUACAUAGCACAUGUUUAUGUUUUCUACUUACGCCAGUGAGAAAUACACAAUGCACUAAUUAAAUAUAAAUGAACUAAGCAAAAUACACAUGAUAAAAUCCAAUGGAAAUAUACACAGAGUAAUUAAGAUGGAACUUGUGAUUAAGUUCGGCUUACCACCAGGUAUUCCUCUAGGAGGGAGAAUAAAUGAUAUAGUCCAGACUCGAUCGACAGCGAUAGAGGAGUGAAAGGGUCUGGCUUGAUUUGAAUCUACUUAUAUAUGCCUGGGAAAUGUGGGCGGACACAGGAAACGUCCUAGGCUAAGAAUUUAGCUUACACGUGGGUGAAGUCCGACAAGCGACGCACCUUGGUGUAUCACGCGGUAUGUUGACCAGGGUAAUCUCUUAGAUCAAAGAGAGACGUGAGAGAAAGGGGGGGGGGGGAGGAUUAGCUUGCAUUCAAACCAAGGUGGGGUCAACCGCGACCGUCCUUCAGACAUCCGGCGGGCAAGACAAAAGAGAUUGUGUGUCUACCUUUCCCCGAUCAAGGGCAGAUAAAUGAAAGGACGCGCCUUCGCUAUCUCCAAUGUGGUCAACUAAGUCUAGCCUGGAGAGAGGAAAGGUGGGGCGGGUGAAGAAAUUGGAGGUAGGAUGGGGAAAUAAUUAAAAUAAAUAAAUAAAUAAUGAAAAAUAAUAAUUAAUGCUGUGAUAAUUUAGAGUGACUCUGACAGCGAGUUUUUGACUUGUCACAGACAUGUCUAAAUCCAACACACAAAAUGUAAGGAACAUGCCUAAAUCCAACACACAAAAUGUAAGGAACAUGUCUAAAUCCAACACACAAAAUGUAAGGGACAUGCCUAAAUCCAACACAUAAAAUGUAAGGGACAUGUCUAAAUCCAACACACAAAAUGUAAGGAACAUGCCUAAAUCCGACACACAAAAUGUAAGGAACAUGUCUAAAUCCAACACACAAAAUGUAAGGGACAUGUCUAAAUCCAACACACAAAAUGUAAGGAACAUGCCUAAAUCCGACACACAAAAUGUAAGGAACAUGCCUAAAUCCAACACAUAAAAUGUAAGGGACAUGUCUAAAUCCAACACACAAAAUGUAAGGAACAUGCCUAAAUCCAACACACAAAAUGUAAGGGACAUGCCUAAAUCCAACACACAAAAUGUAAGGGACAUGUCUAAAUCCAACACACAAAAUGUAAGGAACAUGCCUAAAUCCGACACACAAAAUGUAAGGAACAUGUCUAAAUCCAACACAUAAAAUGUAAGGAACAUGCCUAAAUCCAACACAUAAAAUGUAAGGGACAUGUCUAAAUCCAACACACAAAAUGUAAGGGACAUGUCUAAAUCCAACACACAAAAUGUAAGGGACAUGUCUAAAUCCAACACAUAAAAUGUAAGGGACAUGUCUAAAUCCAACACACAAAAUGUAAGGGACAUGCCUAAAUCCAACACAUAAAAUGUAAGGGACAUGUCUAAAUCCAACACACAAAAUGUAAGGAACAUGCCUAAAUCCGACACACAAAAUGUAAGGAACAUGUCUAAAUCCAACACACAAAAUGUAAGGGACAUGCCUAAAUCCAACACACAAACUGUAAGGGACAUGUCUAAAUCCAACACACAAAAUGUAAGGAACAUGCCUAAAUCCAACACACAAAAUGUAAGGGACAUGCCUAAAUCCAACACACAAAAUGUAAGGGACAUGUCUAAAUCCAACACACAAAAUGUAAGGAACAUGCCUAAAUCCGACACACAAAAUGUAAGGAACAUGUCUAAAUCCAACACAUAAAAUGUAAGGAACAUGCCUAAAUCCAACACACAAAAUGUAAGGGACAUGUCUAAAUCCAACACACAAAAUGUAAGGAACAUGUCUAAAUCCAACACACAAAAUGUAAGGGACAUGUCUAAAUCCAACACAUAAAAUGUAAGGAACAUGUCUAAAUCCAACACACAAAAUGUAAGGAACAUGUCUAAAUCCAACACACAAAAUGUAAGGAACAUGUCUAAAUCCAACACACAAAAUGUAAGGAACAUGUCUAAAUCCAACACACAAAAUGUAAGGAACAUGUCUAAAUCCAACACACAAAAUGUAAGGAACAUGUCUAAAUCCAACACACAAAAUGUAAGGAACAUGUCUAAAUCCAACACACAAAAAGUAAGAAGGUGAGAAUCCCACUCGUUUGUUGACAGAAGACAUUAUGAGAUGCCGAGCAGGGUUACCAACGAAGUACCUUAUAGGAAAAUGCUGUAGCUACAUUAGGAAAAUGCUGUAGCUACAUUAGGAAAAUGCUGUAGCUACAUUAGGAAAAUGCUGUAGCUACAUUAGUUUUCGUGUAGGAUGAACUGUCCAGUAUUUUUCUUUUCGACUAAGACACACCCCCUUCACAAAUGCUCCCCUUUUUCUCCACAGGCGAAAAUUAAAAAAAAAAAACUUUAAAAAAAAAAAAAUCCCCAGUUAUGUACAUACACACGUUGUUACACAAUAAAAAUAAAAAAAUAAAAUUUAGUUUGCAAUAUAUAAAAAAGAGAGAAAAUAAAAAGUUUGUCUAAAUGUUUUGAGUUUGUUUUUAACUUACCAGAUAUGAGUUCUAUAAGAUAUUGUAGAUACGACAACACAUGCCAAUACCUCAUCGUAUAGACUAUAACAGGCUAUAUUCAGAACAGUAGAUAAAUAACUUCAGGGGACGUGAUGGAUGAGUGAUAAAGCACAAGGCUUCUUGGGCUCGAAUAUCGCUGAAGAAUGGGAUUUUGUCAUUUUGGCAUUUUUUAGGACGUCUAUGUCAUGGGUACCUGGAAAAGGAAAGGCGGCUUGCGAACGAGACGGAGAGUUGUUACAAAGGACACGGACUACACAUUUGAGACCAAUAGAAAAUCGACUGCCGAGGACGACGUAGACGGCGAAAGGACAACCUGGAUAGUUAUGUCUCUGCAAUAGGUCGCUUUGUAUAAUCUUGACAGCGAAGCCAUUUGAAAUACUAAUCUCAUCAUUAAUCUAUUUUUUUAAUGAGUUAAAAAGGAGUUAAAUAGUUAAACCAAAUUACAUGUACUUCUAUCAAUGUCUGUAUAAUUAUCCGUUAGAAAUAGCCUACUCAAAAGAUUGAUGGUAAUCCUUUUCCGAAUGUGUUUUUUUGAUUUUUUUUUUCCUUUUUCUUUUAAUUCACUUUCCAAAAGAUUACAUUGCAAAAAAAAAACAAAA